rnacentral:rRNA from 1 species
UACGAGGGGGGCGAGCGUUGUUCGGAAUUAUUGGGCGUAAAGGGUGCGUAGGCGGUUUGGUAAGUCUUAUGUGAAAUCUAUGGGCUCAACUCAUAGUCUGCAUGAGAAACUGCCGGGCUUGAGUAUGGGAGAGGUGAGUGGAAUUCCUGGUGUAGCGGUGAAAUGCGUAGAUAUCAGGAGGAACACCUGUAGCGAAAGCGGCUCACUGGACCAUAACUGACGCUGAUGCACGAAAGCUAGGGGAGCAAACAGG